rnacentral:RNase_P_RNA from 1 species
CAGCUGGACCGGACGGUCGCUUUCGACGUCUUCGGACGGCGGGAGAGGAAAGUCCGAACUCCGCAGAGCAGUGUGCCGGAUAACGUCCGGGAGGCCGGGUUUAAGCCCGGUCGACGGAAAGUACCACAGAAAACAUACCGCCUCGGCUGCAAGGCUGGGUAAGGGUGAAAAGGUGCGGUAAGAGCGCACCGCCGCCGCAGUAAUGCGACGGGCAGGGCAAACCCCACACGGAGCAAGACCAAAUAGGGAGGGAGCCUCGGCUUCGGCCGGGGC